rnacentral:rRNA from 1 species
CCGCGUAUUCGCCCUUUUCCGGUUGAUCCUGCCGGACCUGACUGCUACCGGAUUGAUACUAAGCCAUGCGAGUCAUUGUAGCAAUACAAGGCAGACGGCUCAGUAACGCGUAGUCAAUCUACCCUAUGGACGGGGAUAACCUCGGGAAACUGAGAAUAAUACCCGACAGAACAUUAUGCCUGGAAUGGCUUAUGUUUUAAAUGAUUUAUCGCCGUAGGAUGGGACUGCGGCCUAUCAGUUUGUUGGUGAGGUAAUGGCCCACCAAGACUAUUACAGGUACGGGCUCUGAGAGGAGUGGCCCGGAGAUGGGUACUGAGACGCGGACCCAGGCCCUAUGGGGCGCAGCAGGCGAGAAAACUUUGCAAUGUGCGAAAGCACGACAAGGUUAAUCCGAGUGGUUUCUGCUAAAGAAACCUUUUGUUAGUCCUAGAAACACUGACGAAUAAGGGGUGGGCAAGUUCUGGUGUCAGCCGCCGCGGUAAAACCAGCACCUCAAGUGGUCAGGAUGAUUAUUGGGCCUAAAGCAUCCGUAGCUUGCUUUGUAAGUUCUCGGUUAAAUCCAUGCGCUUAACGUAUGGGCUGCCGGUAAUACUGCAAAGCUAGGGAGUGGGAGAGGUAGACGGUACUCGGUAGGAAGGGGUAAAAUCCUUUGAUCUAUUGAUGACCACCUGUGGCGAAGGCGGUCUACCAGAACACGUCCGACGGUGAGGGAUGAAAGCUGGGGGAGCAAACCGGAUUAGAUACCCGGGUAGUCCCAGCUGUAAACUAUGCAAACUCAGUGAUGCAUUGGCUUGUGGCCAAUGCAGUGCCGCAGGGAAGCCGUUAAGUUUGCCGCCUGGGAAGUACGUACGCAAGUAUGAAACUUAAAGGAAUUGGCGGGAAGGGCGAAUUCG